ACAGGCUGCACAGUACUGAAGCAGACCGCUAUUACAGCCAGCUGGAAGAGAGGAGCAUCCCACACUGAUUGCAAGCUGGUGUAUGGGGCAUUCGCAGGUCAUGAACCCUAAUGCCCCUGUACCUGUCAGGGGCAUGCACACAACGGUGGGAAGAAACAUAAACACUGCAGUUUGGGACUAGCUGAUGGGACUAGUUGAGACUUCAUGGGGAUCAGCUGACAGGGAACUCCAAUUGCACACUGCAGUCAAGACCUUCCUAAACCUAACACGCAGCUAACCCCCGUGUUAGUACUGUACUUGUGCAAUAAUGUGCAAUAAUGUGCAUACUAAAAACGGAAGGCAAUCUGCUGCAAUCGAUCCGGUUGUGUCUAGGAAUCUUCGGAUAAUAUUAACUAUUCAGAGAUCAUAGGGCAAUUUUAACAGUUUAAACAACUCAUGAUAUUUGCCUUGUUUGACAUUACUUUUGUCUUUUCUUACACAGAAAAUUCACUGAAAAUAAUGGCUUGACCGUCAAUUUGGUUUAGUUGUAAAUACUCAUUUCAACAACUUCUCAGCAUAUUUGCUCUUCCUACUAUAUCCAGAAGGGGGCGAUCAUACUCUUCGAUUUUGUCAUUGGAACGAUUUUGAAUUGUUUUACUUAAUUUAGGCAUAUGUCUAAUUUGUAAAAUAACUAUAUGUCAAAAAUUAGUUUUUUAUUUUUAUUUUUACAUGUAUUUAUUUUCUCCAAAAAGGGUAAAUAGCUGGGGGAAUUCAGUACUUUUAAUGAAUCAUUGGUUAAAACACAGGAUAAAGAAAGAUGUGAUAUUUGAAUUAUGAAUUAGGAAAAUGUUACAUUUUAAAACAAUUUUGGAUGUAUUUAAAUUAUAUCAUGAUAUUGAAGGUAUGGCCAAAUAUUUACAAAAAUCAUAAUAACAAGGUUUCUCCUUUCCUCUUGCAAUUACGAUACAUUUCCUGCUCUGCAAAACUACUACAGCUCUAGGGUUUUACCAUCUGUUUUAGUCGUAGACUGAAAUAUGAGCAGUGCCUGUGGCAUUUUCUUAAUUUUGCCCCUCCAUUAUCAUUCCCAAACAUUUUGCAUACUUUAUUUUAUUACAGUAUACAAAAUGUUUCAAGUGUACUUAUAGUUUUUGUGCUUAAUUUAAAGUAUGCAUAAAAUUUUCUUUUUAAAAGUAUACUUCCAAAUAUAUGACAGUAAAUUGUACUUCAGUGUACUUAAAAUAAGUAUACUGAACCACAUAUACUAAUAGUCGUAAUUUAGUGUACUUAAAAAACGUAUACUUUGGUUUAAGUUGUACUUUAUUGUACUUCAAAUAAGUAUACUAUAUUGCAUAGACUUAUAAUGGUAUUUUAGUGUACUUCUGAAAAGUCUAUUGUAGUAUACUUAUGAAAAGUGCACUUUAUUUUAAUCAUGGUAAAUUAUGCUAAUGCUAUAUUUGCUGAAUACUGUCUUAAUACACUUCAAGGACAUUUUAAAAGUGCAUAUGAAUAUAGCUCAAUCAUACAAAAAAAGUAUGCAGACAAUAAGCUUUCAGUAUAAUUGAAAUAUGUUUAUAUUGGUUUAAAUAAUACUUAGAGAUUCAUUUGAAUAGAUUUUCAUUUCAAAUUUAUUUUAAAUGUAUCAACCUAAAGCACCAAAAAACUAUACUUAAAUGUAUUUUAGCACAAUCAAGUGCACUAAUUACCAUUUAAGUACACAUUAAGCACUACUUUAGUACAACUCAAAUUCACUAAGCGCAAAAGGCAGUUUCAAAAUAGCAAUUUAGCAUUUCAAAUAUAUUAAUCAUUAGCACAAGGAAAUAUACUAACAUACUAAAAUUAAAUGUACCUUUGUGUAUUUUUUUCCACUUGGAUUGUAAUGUUGACCACAUUAACCACAAGAUUUAAAUUACUUCCUGUGGCUAAAAAUAAUUUUUAAAAAUUGGGGGGAUGCAGAUAGAAGUGUGGGGACAACUUUGCUUUUAAGAGCUGUUAGACGCAAUGACCUUGGCUUGGUGACUAUUUCUAAAGAUUCCAACAAUUUCAUAGUUUACAGCUACGGAAGCCAAAUGAGUCAUCCUCAAUCAGUAUGCCUUUUUGAGCCAACAACAAACAUUAUUGUUUUCUCCCAUUCUGGUUUUCAAUUUUAUGCUGUACAAAAUCCAUGAAGUGUAAUCUCUGAAAUUCAGCACCCCGAGGUGGAAUGCCUCAAGCUUGGCAUUGCAUUAGUUUUGCUGAAUAUCAAAUAAUUCCAUUUCUGCUUGACUGAGAUUAAAAUCGGACAGGUCCAGAAUUUACAUACUUAUGGAAGUUGUAUCACACUACCCAAUGACCAGGAGUUGAAGAAAUCUGUGGAAUUUUCUCCAUUUUGUUGAACAGACAUAAAAUUGAAAGUGCUUGACCAUAUCAAAUAUUUAGUUGUUCAGACUGGUGGCCAAAUAAAUUCCUCACAAUCAA